rnacentral:rRNA from 1 species
AUUGAACGCUGGCGGCAUGCCUUACACAUGCAAGUCGAACGGCAGCGGACCUUCGGGUGCCGGCGAGUGGCGAACGGGUGAGUAAUAUAUCGGAACGUACCUUUCAGUGGGGGGAUAACGUAGCGAAAGUUACGCUAAUACCGCAUAUUCUGUGAGCAGGAAAGCAGGGGGAUCGCAAGACCUUGCGCUGAUUGAGCGGCCGAUAUCAGAUUAGCUAGUUGGUGAGGUAAAGGCUCACCAAGGCGACGAUCUGUAGCGGGUCUGAGAGGAUGAUCCGCCACACUGGAACUGAGACACGGUCCAGACUCCUACGGGAGGCAGCAGUGGGGAAUAUUGCGCAAUGGGCGAAAGCCUGACGCAGCCAUGCCGCGUGUGUGAAGAAGGCCCUUGGGUUGUAAAGCACUUUCAAUUGGGAAGAAGGUUAGCGUGUUAAUAGCACGUAGCUGUGACGUUACCUUUAGAAGAAGCACCGGCUAACUCCGU